CCGACAGAUCACCAACAAACCUUAAGAACCCGGGGCCUGAAACCGGGACGAAAAGAGCGGAAAGAAGUGGGAUUUAGGGUUGAAAAAGUCAAGACUAAAUCAAAACUCUCUGCUGGGUAAAACGGGUGAAGAGAACUCCCCAAACAAGUGGAAAAGUGGAAGAGAAGGCAGGGGCCAGAAAAGGGGGCCAGGCAGAACGGAGAGGGAAUGAUGCGCCCCAACAUCCCCUUGGCCGAGCAUAAUUACACACGACAGUACCUCGGCCUGGGGUACCGGCCGCGCGUUGGAUGUACUAACCCACGUCUUCCACCAGGAGGCCGCCGCCACCCUUCCCCGCCCCCCACCCAAAAUAAUGAAAACAGGUACCUAAGAGAUGCAAGGCGGGCUACCUUCAGCCGGCCGUGACCUUCUCGGGCAGCCCCGAAUCUCGCCCCCUACUGAGAGCCUCCUGCUCAACCGCAGUCGCGCGGACCCUCCGAGCAGGGGUGCGGGCCGGGCAAAGCCCCCGGGCCACGGUGUGUGCUCACGCAGCGCGGAGCGGCGUGACGGGGAGGGAGGAGAGGGGACGCCCAUCUCCCACCGUGCGGAGCCCACAGGAGAAGGCGGCUGAGGGCACUCGGGCCCCCACCGCCGCCUCUUUCGCCCAAACAAACACCAGCCAGCCACGCGCGGAGAAGCGAGGCGGGCAGACCCACCAGUGACCUCCUUGUUGUAUUCACCAUGAUUCAAGAGAUAGAAAGCUGUCCUACCAACUUCUGAAGCAGGGUGUCUGCGUAUUGAUAGAGUCACCAGGAGCAGAGGGCUGAUCCUUAUUCUCAAGUCAUUCAACAUUUUCUGAGCUUGUCUUCAAAUUCUGGAUAUCUCUUAUUUGAUUUCCUGAGACCUUUUGAAGUCCCACAGGCUCCAGAUGGGGAAAAUACAAAGAAACCCUAAACUUUGUAGUCCAAAGACCAGGAUUUUAAUGUCAGCAUGCCACAUCUUGGCUCUAUAAUCUCAAAGCAGGAAACCAGAAAGCAAAUCUAGGUAAGAUGUGCUACUCAGAACAUUGCUCCAGGUGAUGACUGAGACAUUCUUAAGAAACCUUGCUGAUGUGCCUGACCCUCUCUUCCCUGAGUCAUCUUAGACAAAGGUGCCAUGCAUGAAAGUGGCGAACACCAAGAGAGAAGCAGCUAAUCCCCAGUGACUGUGGAACUAUCAGCUUCACCUAACCUCUCCACCAAGAAUUUGACCACCUGUGGAUGGAGUAAGUGCAGUAAGCGAGAUCAUCAAGGGCCACCUGCCUUCUCAGCUGCAGAACCCCUCAUUCACCUGGGGCUCCCUUCCCACAGCUGCCUGCAUCUAUGUGUGGGAUCUGCCCUCUGACUGGGGCCCAGGCUCUCCCCACACUCUGCUCCCGCUCCCUGUUCCCUGGCUGACCCAUCAAGUGUGGCUGGAGACCUGGAGCAACCUAGCUCACACCUGCUCUUCAGGACACACCACCUGCCAGGCCAGUUGCCCUGGUGGGGCUGGUCACUGUCUGGCUCCACUCUGGCUUAGCACCACCUAACGACCACGGGACCCAGAAGUCACUUCCAGUUGGAGCUCCUGCUCCUGCUCAGGCCUGGCAGCCAGCAAUCCCUCUGUUUGCUACCAGAGUAAGUAAAAUGCACUUACACGGAAAGACAAAAUCAAAAAGCUUUUGUUUCCUGACAGUGGUCUCUCCCGUGACUUAACAAUCUCUUUUUCUUCCUACCUUUGUCUUCAAACCAUACAAGUAUGUCUGUCUUAUCCAUGGACCCAGGGGAUCAUAUUCAUUUUUCACUUUGUCAUCACAAAAUCCCUGAAACAGUAAACUGGAUGUCUUACUGCUUAAAGAAUCACAUGUGACAGAAAGAGCAGAAACCAUACCGGCGUGCUAGUCUCCUCCUGGGAAGAAGAUUCUCUUGUCUCCUCAGUUCCUGAUGACAGGGAUUGUCAGAGCUGCCCCUGACCUCAGGGGCUCCAGCUGCAGUGAGGGCUCAGAGCACCCCUCACCAGGCCUGCUCCUGUGAAACGAAGGCCCACUGAACCCCGGCCAGGCACAGGCAGUGCUCUCCUAGGGUUCCCGUUGAUCUGGGUCUUCACGUGGGGUUUUCUGUUUCAGCAAGAUCCUGAAACAAGACAGAGUUGAGAACCACACCUCUAAACUCAACGUAUAAAAUGGGAAAAAUCAUACUUACCUCAUAGGGCUGUUGUAGGAAUUGAGUGAUAUAACAAGUAUAGUGCGAUGCUAAGUCACUGGACAAACGGUGUUUGACAUGGUGAUCCUCAGUCUGAGAGAGCUCUAUCAGUGCUGCCUCCUCAGGCUAUAAAAAGGACACUGGCAACUUGAGGGCCUGUUGGUUCAUUCAGGGUAUGGCUCUGAGGUUGCCAGGCCGUGCUCAUCAUUAUAGCCCUCGCCAGCCAGAGCUCUUAUGGUUCUUUGUGGGCCUUUGACGUACUGUCUGCUGUAACCUUUUGUCUUUGUGAGGAUUCCAUCUGUAACAGUGUGGUGAUUGGCGGUACAGGCUUGAAACCAGGUGUCUUGGAUUUAAACCUCAGCCUAAAUAAUUAGAGCUGUGAGAUCUUGGGCAAAAGAUCUAAGCCUGAGUUUCCUCACCUGUAAAAUGGGGAUACUUAAAAUACAGGGGUUACAAGAGGUAAGGACUACAAAGCACAAUUCCCAGUGUGUGGUUAAGUGCUCCAAAAUGUUGACAUUACUUGGAUUCACUGCUUUCACUUCUGGGAAACUCAUUCCUGAUGUUUCAAAUUGCAUUGAUCUCUUCUAAAGUCCUUAUUAAGAAUUUAUAUUUAACUUGUUUGGUGCUUAACUCACUGGUCAGUUCUCAAACUCGGUAUCUUCAAACUUUUAGAUUCAACCAGUGUCGCCUCCAAGACUUUCAAUUUCUGUUUAGAGUGCUGUUUUCAUUUGAAACUCAAUGGGUCAAUUAGUUGUUUGUGGCUCUUUUGGGAAGGUAUUCUGUACCAAGCACCAAUUUAGAUUGUCAGGAAGGAGGAGCUCACGUUUUCUGCAGUAGACACAGAAAGUUCUCCAAAUGGAUCUAUUCACUGUCUCAGGAAACACAUUUCCUUAAGCAGAAUGAAAAAGGUAUUAUAGCUGAUGUUGGUUUGUUCUAGUUCCUACUUUAAUAUCA